GGUUGGAUAAGUUUUGUUUGGUAUUAGUUUUUGCUUUCUGUUAGGAUGAGUGUUUUUGUAUGCUUGUUUUGGUGGUGCCAAACUUAGCUUACUGACGUGUUAGGAGCCUGUGAUAGCUGAACUUUUUUGUGAGUUAGUCAUCAUCAGUUUGGAUAUGUGGCGAAUGUUUAUCCUGACACAGGGGCUCGUGUUCAUAGGGGAUAUUUUGGAAAGAAAAGAGAAAUGUUGAUGAAAACAACUGAACUUAGCUGCCUUCUCUUACAACAUCUGUAGAACUCCGUGAGAGAAAUCGAGAGGGAUUCAAGAGAAAAACCAGAAUCAGUUGAGCCUAUAUCAGAUUUCUGAGUUCAAUUCAUAGAAAGCAAAGUGAUGGUCAUGAACUCGUGGAUCACUUAGUUCCAGGGAGAUCUGAAAGUAUUUGAAAAGGGGUUUCUUUUCUCUCGAUCCGAAUUUGAAAUUAAAGGGAGGAGUUGGAUUUACUGUGAUGUUCAUGAUACCGUAAAUUUUAGUCUUGAUAUGAAGGUUUGUUGGAUUGAAAUUCACAGCAGCACUUCAGAAUUCUUAUGUAUGGUCAGAUGAAUCAACUGGGAUAUUAAAUGUUAUGCUCUGCGCUAAUUGAUGAUUUACUGUUUGACUAGGUGUCUUUGAGUUCAGUUGGAGGAUUGCGAAGAUUGAGGUUUGAGUAGCGGAUUGAGGUGGGAAUUUACAUGUCUCUUUUGUAACCAUUGAUGUCUUUUACAAAACUAUGUUUAUCUGCCUUAUCAAACUCAUGCAUGGUUAAACUUUAAUUCCUUAACAUUUUUGUUGGCUCCUUUAACCUUUCCAUUACUUGGAAAGGACCUGAAGUGUACUUCUUGUCUUAUGAGUGUAAUGGGAAAUAAGAAUUUCCUUCGUUGGUAUUUAGGAUUGUGCUCGUUCUUUUAUACCUAGCUUUUAUGUUUAUAUAGGUCAUCAGUUUGCGAGUUCGGAAUUGAUUGACAUCCAUAUAUGCUAUUAGGGGUGAAUUUGCGAGUUCGGAGUUUACCACCAUAUUAUUAAUUGUAUGAAGGAGGAGUAGGUCCGUAUACAUGGUUGAUUUGUGUGUUUUUGCCUUCUUUUAAUGUUUGAAGUAUAUGUUGUCUAAUUUCAGUGGGUUAAAUGUGCUUUCAACGUUUGAUAAAUUUGCAUUAUUUUGAAAUUCAACUUUAAUGGUUCCAUUUGGGAAGUGUAAGUAUUCCUACUGAGCUUGUUUAGCUCACUCCUUCCAUCUCCUUUUAGUGACUGGUAAUCUUGAGAUAAGUGGCGUAGACUCGGCCGAAGGAGAGGUUAUUGUUUGGGUUGUGUAGGGUGUCUGGUUGUGUAUAGAAAGGUAACUGCCGGUAUCUUUUUGUAGGCAGUACUGUGGUUGUGGUCAGUAAGGGUGAUUUUUUAUUUUUUUUUUGCUUGUAACUAUUGUAAAUUAUGUUUAAUUAACUAUCACAAGCACACCGUAUGUAAAUUAGUUAGUAAUGUUGUGAAUAUAGCCAAGUUUGGGUCUAGGCCGGUUUACACUUGUGCUGAAGGUUUCAUUUUAAAGGAUUGAGGUUUUACUUCAGCGAGCCAAAGAAUUUCAGUUAAUCAAUUUCUUUUGUAGCCUAGCUUGAGGAAAAUUUUCGUGAUGUUGAUCAUCUCUUUUGUAUCCAUCUUGUCAGCUGCGAACCUUAGCUUACUGCAGCACCACCAGUGUGGGUUCAUGGUCUUAAACUCAGAUUAGAAAAUUUGGGUCGCUAUAAUGUUGGUAUCAGAGCCCAUUAGUAGAUCUUAUAUGGGCGCUUAGUAAAAGCUAGAACCUAAAAGACAUCACGAAUAAAAAUCUUAUUGAAUAUAGUAGUUGUUUUUUGUUGUUGUUUGUGAGUAGUGUGCUUAUAAUAUGUCUUGUAAAGUUUUAGAUAUUAAGUUUUAUGUUCAAGUUGCGGUGGCAGAGUAUGACAGACAAUAAUGAAAAUCAGAGUUUGGAGGGUGGGUCUGGUCAGCAUAUUGAGAGUAGUAAUCUGUAGUUAUUAAUGAAGUCUAUGGCGGAGAUGAGGCAACAUCAACUGUUAUUGGAAGAAAGACUUGGGAUUUUGCCUCCACGACACAACUCAGGGAGCGCAGGUCAGACUUCGAACCAAGGGGAUCUGAUUAUGGAUCUGAUUAUGCCAGGACGAAAUCAAAAUCUACUCGGACAGUUACUUCAACAGUAUGUAAAGCUCGCUCCAGAGGAAUUCGAGGGAAGCCCACCAAAUCCCAAAAGGCGGAAGAAUGGUUGCAACAUGCAGAACAUGUUUUAGAACAUGUAACCGAUGAUAGAGAUAUGUGGGUCAAGUUGGCUACCUACAGAUUUCGAGGACCAGCACGAGUUUGGUGGAAGGAAGUAAUGAAAGCGGACUGUGAGGUAAUGACCUGGGAUAGGUUUAAAAGUUUGUUUAUGGACAAGUAUGUACCUGAUGCGGCAAGAGAUAGGAAAUUUUAUGAAUUCAUGUCUUUAACAAAGGGUGGUAUGUCUGUUAGCACUUAUAAUGAUAAAUUUGUAAGGUUGUUGCAUUACGGAGCAGAGUUGGUAGCCACUGAUGAGGCUAAAGAGAAGAAAUUUAUCAGAGGAUUGGAUCCCGAGAUGCGGAAACGACUCUCAUGUUUACGAAUCAGGACUUAUGGGGAUGCUUUGAAUCGGUCUCUUGAUUAUGAAAAAGAGAUGGAGGAUCAACUUGCAACACGAGUUAGAGAAAGGUCGCAACAGUUUUCAGCAAGACAAGGUCCAGCAAAACGGUCAAUGUUCUCAGCUCCUAAUCAGACAUUUUUCAGACCACCAGUAAGACCAUGGUCAACGGGAUCAGCAACAGCACCAUCUGCAAUACGUCCACCUUCAGUUAGACCUCAAGGAAGAUGAGUACGGUUCCAGCAAGUACACCCGACUGCACCAACCAGUUCUGGUUUGAGUUCCUUCAGGUGUCAUGGCUGUGGUGAAUCGGGUCAUUUGAAGAGGGAUUGCCCAAAGAAUCCACCAACAGGGUUAACUCAUCAAGGAGCGGUUUAUGCAAUGGAGCCAGUAGUAAAUUCUAAUCAAGAAGAAUCAGAAGAGAGUCAAGUAUUGUAUACAAUGGUGGAAGGGGAUGGCUCAGCGACCGAUCAGGUGGUUGAAGGUAAGAUGUUAUUGUUCAAUCACCUAGUGCAUGUGUUGAUAGACACUGGUUCUACUCAAUCAUUUAUAAACCUAAGCAUAGCAACUGAACUGGAGUUAAACAUGAUAUGUAACAACAAAACUUUAGCUUUAGCUACACCAUUGGGGACAAAAAAAUUUCCUUUUCGAGUUUGCAAGAAUUGUUUGAUGAUGGUUGAUGAUCAGGAAUUAACCGCAGACUUGAUUGUGCUAGAAAUGUGUGGUUUUGAUGUCAUACUAGGUAUGUAUUUGAUUAGCUAAAUAUCAUGCUAGUGUGGAUUGUUUUGCUAAAGUAGUUACAUUUCUAUUGCCUGGUAGAUCUCCGUUUGUGUUUGAGGGUUCCAUAAAACCACAGAGUUUGUUUCAGAAACUGAAAAAAAACUGUUGGUGAAAAUGGGUUUGGUUUGCUUGCUUGUGUCACUGAAGAUACGGUGACAGUAGAGUCAAUACCUGUAGUGUGUGUGAUUUUAAAUAUGUAUUCCCAGAUGUUCUGCCAGGGUUACCACCAAAGAGAGUGAUAGAUUUUUGCAUUGAUUUAUUGCCGGGAACUUCUCCAAUUUCGAAAAAUCCUUACCGUAUGGCUCCCUGUGAAAAGAAAGAAAUAAAGUCACAGAUAGAAGAGUUAUUAAGUUUAGGAUUUAUUCAACCUAGUUUUUCUUCAUGGGGUGCUCCUGUUUUGUUUGUGAAAAAGAAGGAUAAUACGUUUAGGUUGUGUGUUGAUUAUCGGGAAUUAAAUAAAGUCACUAUCAAGAAUAGGUAUCCACUUCCAAGGAUAGAUGAUUCGUUUGAUCAGUUGAAAGAUGCUAAAUUCUUUGCUAAGAUUGACCUUAGGACAGGGUAUCAUCAGUUGCGAAUCAAGGAAGGUGACAUUCCAAAAACAGCUUUUAGGACAACGUUAGGGCACUAUGAAUAUCUCGUUAUGCCUUUUGGUUUGUCUAACGCCCCAACAAUGUUCAUGGAUUUGAUGCAUAGGGUACUUUGGCCAUAUUUGAAUGAAUGUGUGAUUGUGUUCAUUGAUGAUAUUUGGAUUUAUUCAAAGACUCUUGAAGACCAUGGGAUACACUUGCAAAAUGUUCUCCAAACUCUGCGUGAAAACCAGUUGUAUGCAAAGUUUAGUAAAUGUGAGUUUUGGUUAAAUGAAGUAAAAUUUCUUUGUCAUGUCGUUUCAAGUGGGGGAAUUGCAGUAGAUCCUUCAAAGGUUGAUAGUGUUUUGAACUGGCGGCAACCAAGAACAGUUUCAGAAGUUUGAAGUUUCUUAGGGUUGGCAGGUUAUUAUCGUCGGUUUGUGCAGGGUUUCUCCAAAAUUGCAUCACCAUUUAGUCGGUUAACACAUAAAGGGGUUAAAUUCGAAUGGUCAGCUGAGUGUGAGUCUGCUUUCCAAGAGUUGAAGAAUCGUUUAACUUCAUCACCAGUGUUGACCGUGCCGAGUCCAAGGACAAUUUAUGACGUGUAUACAGACGCAUCUUCGGUUAGUCUUGGAUGUGUAUUAAUGCAGAAUAGACAAGUCAUUGCCUAUGCUUCCAGGAAAUUGAAGAUUCAUGAGAAGAAUUAUCCUACACAUGAUCUAGAGCUGGCGGCUGUUGUAUUUGCUUUUAAGAUUUGGAGGCACUAUUUAUAUGGAGAAAAAUUCAGGUUAUAUUCUGAUCAUAAGAGUCUACGGUAUUUGUUCUCACAAAAGGAUUUGAAUUUGAGACAAAGCCGCUGGGAUGAGUACUUGAAAGACUACGAAUUUACCUUGUUGUAUCAUCCGGGUAAGGCAAAUGUGGUGGCUGACGCUCUUAGUCGUAAGAAAGAAGGGAUUAUGGCACACAUGUUGGUUAUGAAAUGGAUGUUGUUGAGUGAGGCAAUAGAUUACACAUUACAAGAAUCAUAAGAUGAUGGUGUUUGCACCAGUUAUUUAGCUCAAAUGACAGUACACUCUACCUUGAUUCAGAGGAUAGCCAAGGUUCAAGUUGAAAGUCAAGACUUUGUAAAAUAUUUCGACAUGGCUAAUGAUAAAGACAACAAGGAUUGGAAGCUACAUUCUGAUGAUACACUUCGUUUCAGGGAUCGUUUAUGGGUGCCAAAAGAGACAGGGUUAGAACUGAGGAAUGAAAUUUUGAAUGAAGCGCAUCGAUCUCAUUACACUAUUCACCCGGGCGGCACUAAGAUGUACAGAAACCUAAGAAGAAACUUUUGGUGGCCUGGAAUGAAGAGAUCUAUUGCUGAGUUUAUGAAGAAAUGUUUGACAUGUCAACAAGUAAAAGCUGAAAACAAAUUACCAGGGGGACUUCUUCAACCUUUACCUAUUCCAGAUUGGAAGUAGGAACAUGUUACAAUGGAUUUUGUUACUGGGUUGCCUAGAACUAGUGAUGGUAUGGAUUCCAUAUGGGUUGUGGUGGACAGAUUAACGAAGUCGGCUCAUUUUGUACCGGUCAAGACUACUUACUCAGUAGACAAGCUAGCACAAACGUAUGUUUCCGAGAUUGUCCGGCUACAUGGUGUUCCAUUGUCCAUCAUAUCAGAUAGGGGUGCUCAAUUCACGUCUGAUUUUUGGAAAGGGCUUCACACAACAUUUGGUACCAAUGUUAAUCUUAGAUCGGCUUUUCACCCGCAGUCAUAUGGACAGUCAGAACGGGUUAUACGUACACUGGAAGAUAUGCUCAGGGCAUGUGUGCUGGAUUUUCAAGGUAGUUGGAAGAGUCAUUUGCCGUUAGCUGAAUUUGCUUACAACAAUAGUUAUCAGGCAAGUAUUGGUAUGACACCAUUUGAAGCGUUAUAUGGGCGACCGUGUAGAUCACCGAUAUGUUGGACAGAGGUUGGAGACAGUUUGUUGACUGGGACGACAGUAGUUGCAGAGAUCACAGAGAAUAUUAAGAUCAUUAAAGAACGUCUUCGAGCAUCUCAAAGUAGGCAGAAGAGUUAUGCAGAUCAUGGUCGACGUCCACUACAGUUUGAGGUUGGGAAGUAUGUGUUGUUACGAGUAUCGCCAAGAAAAGGAAUUACUAGAUUUGGAUUAAAGGGAAAACUCGCACCACGGUUUAUUGGUCCAUUUCAGAUUGUUGAGAAAGUUGGGGAAGUAGCUUACAGGCUCGCAUUACCAGCAAGCAUGGGUCAUGUUCAUAAUUUAUUUCAUGUGUCUAUGCUUUGAGGUUACGAGUCUGAUCCCUCUCAUGUUUUGGAAUGGCAAUCUCUGCCAUUGGAAGAUAAUGGUACAUACAAGGAAGAGCCGAUAGAUAUUCUGGACUGUAAGGAGAAGGUUUUGAGAAAAAAAAUUAUUCCGCUAGUGAAACUGCGUUGGAUUCAUCACAAUACCGAUGAAGCUACAUGGGAGAAAUAAUCCGAUAUGCGAGCUCAAUAUCCAGAGCUGUUUUCUUGAGGUAUGUUUUGUUCUUUUCGAGGACGAAAAGUUAUGUUAGGUAGGGUGAUUGUAGGAACCCAAUUGUUUAUAGUCUGAUUAUUGACUAAUCAAUGUACAUUUAUGCCUUGUGUUUGUGGUUGUGUGUUUGGCUUAUUAGUAUGUCAGGUUGGUGCAAAUCAGAAGAGUUGCACCUAGAGUACAUAUUCACUUGUUUUCUUUCUUGGCUAGAAACGUGGCGGAGUUUCGCUUUGACACCUAGGGUCCAGGUCAUGAUUUUGGUUGGAUAAGUUUUGUUUGGUAUUAGUUUUUGCUUUCUGUUAGGAUGAGUGUUUUUGUAUGCUUGUUUUGGUGGUGCCAAACUUAGCUUACUGACGUGUUAGGAGCCUGUGAAAGCUGAUUUUUUUUGUGAGUUAGUCAUCAUCAGUUUGGAUACAUGGCGAAUGUUUACCCUGACACGGGCUCGUGUUCAUAGGGGAUAUUUUGGAAAGAAAAGAGAAAUGUUGAUGAAAACAACUGAACUUAGUUGCCUUCUCUUACAACAUCUGUAGUACUCUGUGAGAGAAAUCGAGAGGGAUUCAAGAGAAAAACCAGAAUCAGUUGAACCUAUAUCAGAUUUCUGAGUUCAAUUCAUAGAAAGCAAAGUGAUGGUCAUGAACUCGUGAAUCACUUAGUUCCAGGAAGAUCUGAAAGUAUUUGAAAAGGGGUUUCUUUUCUCUCGAUCCGAAUUUGAAAUUAAAGGUAUGACUCAACUCUGAUUGUUCUUGUUUCGACAAAUUCUUCUCAAUAUGAUAGCUAUUGAUCGAACCUCUUAUUACUGAUUCCAUCUUGAUCUUGUCAAAUUCAUUAUCAACAGACUUAGGGUUUAUUGAAAUUGAUAUCAUAUGUAUGUAUUGACUAAAAGCAUGAUAAAAUUAGAACUCGAAUAAAGGAAGGGAUUUGUGAAUUUCAGGUCUGUGGAACACCAGAAACCUAGGAUCUUCGUUGGAAAUCAUUUUCAUUGUUGUGUGUUUAUCUUGUUCUUAAUCCUUGACCACUGAUUCUUGAGGAGUAUAUUUUUGCUAGGGAGGAGUUGGAUUUACUGUGAUGUUCAUGAUACCAUAAAUUUUAGUCUUGAUAUGAAGGUUUGUUGGAUUGGAAUUCACAGCAGCACUUCAGAAUUCUUAUGUAUGGUCAGGUGAUGUUUUGGCUCGACUUUAGGGCACUUUAGAUGAUGAACUGAGUUAGGGAUUCUUUUCAUGAAAUUUUGGUCUUUUGAUAGAUGAAUCAACUGGGAUAUUAAGUGUUAUGCUCUGAGCUAAUUGAUGUAAGACAUGCAUAUUCUCAAUCAGUUCUUCUAUACAGUGAUUUUGACGUAUAUGCUUCAUAAUCUAGCCUGAGACUUGUACUGAUAAGCAUUAGAUAUCUUUUGAGCAAAUAAUCCAGCAUGUUAUUCGAAUGUUGCAGUUAAGAUUACGCAAUUUGAAGUAUGCCAGCUUGUGUAACAACUGCCCUGCACCUCUGUCAGUUCUACUUUUAAGAAAUUUGACGCUUACAACUUGAGUUAGCGUUAGACUUAUAUAGGGAUUACAGUAUAUUGAACUACCAAACUUUAGAGGAUUUUGUUGCUUGGUUUAGAGUUAAAUUGACUAAGUGUGUAUAAUUUUAGAGUUUAUUUUGAAAUCUAGGAUUUGCUUGUAACUGCUGUGAGUAGACGUCUUUAUGGACUUUCAUGGGUAUGUUAGAGAUCGAUUUGGUUCAUGAUGUAUUAAAGAAAAAUGUAGUGGAGAUUGUUAUCUUUCAAAAGAGCUAUUAGUUGUUUGAAAUGAAUCAGAGAUGAAUGUUUUAUGCACCCUGAAACUUAGACCUUCGUGUUGUUUACAAGGGUGUUAGGGGCUGAAACUGAAGAAAGUGUUAAUCAACUUCAUUGUGCAGGAUUUACUGUUUGACUAGGUGUCUUUGAGUUCAGUUGGAGGAUUGCGAAGAUUGAGGUUUGAGUAGCGGAUUGAGGUGGGAAUUUACAUGUCUCUUUUGUAACCGUUGAUGUCUUUUACAAAACUAUGUUUAGCUUCCUUAUCAAACUCAUGCAUGGUUAAACUUUAAUUCCUUAACAUUUUUGUUGGCUCCUUUAACCUUUCCGUUACUUGGAAAGGACCUGAAGUGUACUUGCUUGUCUUAUGAGUGUAAUGGGAAAUAAGAAUUUCCUUCUUUGGUAUUUAGGAUUGUGCUCUUUCUUUUAUACCUGCUUUUAUGUUUAUACAGGUCAUCAGUUUGCGAGUUCAGAAUUGAUUGACAUCCAUAUAUGCUAUUAGGGGUGAAUUUGCGAGUUCGGAGUUUACCACCAUAUUAUAAAUUGUGUGAAAGAGGAGUAGGUCUGUAUACAUGGUUGAUUUGUGUGUUUUUGCCUUAUUUUAAUGUUUGUGAAGUAUAUGUUGUCUAAUUUCAGUGGGUUAAAUGUGCUUUCAACGUUUGAUAAAUUUGUAUUAUUUUGAUAUUCAACUUUAAUGGUUCCAUUUGAGAAGUGUAAGUAUUCCUACUGAGCUUGUUUAGAUCACUCCUUCCAUCUCCUUUUAGUGGCAGGUAAUCUUGAGAUAAGUGGCGCAGACUCGGCCUAAGGAGAGGUUAUUUUUUGGGUUGAGUAGGGUGUCUGGUUGUGUAUAGGAAGGUAACUGCCGGUAUCUUUUUGUAGGCAGUACUGUGGUUGUGGUCAGCAAGGAUGUAUUUUUUUUUUGCUUGUAAGCAACUAUUGUAAAUUAUGUUUAAUUAACUAUCACAAACACACCGUAUGUAAAUUAGUUAGUAAUGUUAUGAAUAUAGCCAAAUUUGGGUCUAGGCCGGUUUA